rnacentral:tRNA from 1 species
AAUGAAAUGCUUGAUAAUAAGAUUAUUUUGAUGUAAUAAAAAAUGUAACAACAUGUUACUUUCAUUA